rnacentral:rRNA from 1 species
AAUGACUCUCGGCAACGGAUAUCUCGGCUCUUACAUCGAUGAAGAACGUAGCAAAAUGCGAUACUUGGUGUGAAUUGCAAAAUCCCGUGAACCAUCGAGUCUUUGAACGCAAGUUGCGCCCGAAUCCCUUGGGUUAAGGGCACGUCUGCCUGGGUGUCACGUA